AGAGUUUGAUCCUGGCUCAGAACGAACGCUGGCGGCGCGCCUAAUACAUGCAAGUCGAGCGAGAAGACGUAGCAAUACGUUUGUAAAGCGGCGAACGGGUGAGGAAUACAUGGGUAACCUACCCUCGAGUGGGGAAUAACUAGCCGAAAGGUUAGCUAAUACCGCAUACGACUCUCGGUCUGCGGAUCGAGAGGGAAAGCGAUACCGUGGGUAUCGCGCUCAUGGAUGGGCUCAUGUCCUAUCAGCUUGUUGGUGAGGUAAUGGCUCACCAAGGCUUCGACGGGUAGCUGGUCUGAGAGGACGAUCAGCCACACUGGCACUGCGACACGGGCCAGACUCCUACGGGAGGCAGCAGUAAGGAAUAUUGCGCAAUGGGCGACAGCCUGACGCAGCGACGCCGCGUGGGGGAUGAAGGUCUUCGGAUUGUAAACCCCUUUCGGCAGGGAAGAUGGAACGGGUAACCGUUCGGACGGUACCUGCAGAAGCAGCCACGGCUAACUUCGUGCCAGCAGCCGCGGUAAUACGAAGGUGGCAAGCGUUGUUCGGAUUUACUGGGCGUACAGGGAGCGUAGGCGGUUGGGUAAGCCCUCCGUGAAAUCUCCGGGCCUAACCCGGAAAGUGCGGAGGGGACUGCUCGGCUAGAGGAUGGGAGAGGAGCGCGGAAUUCCCGGUGUAGCGGUGAAAUGCGUAGAGAUCGGGAGGAAGGCCGGUGGCGAAGGCGGCGCUCUGGAACAUUUCUGACGCUGAGGCUCGAAAGCGUGGGGAGCAAACAGGAUUAGAUACCCUGGUAGUCCACGCCU
rnacentral:rRNA from 1 species